UACGUAGGGUGCGAGCGUUAAUCGGAAUUACUGGGCGUAAAGCGUGCGCAGGCGGUUUUGUAAGACUGUCGUGAAAUCCCCGGGCUUAACCUGGGAACUGCAUUUGUGACUGGCAGGCUAGAGUAUGGCAGAGGGGGGUAGAAUUCCACGUGUAGCAGUGAAAUGCGUAGAGAUGUGGAGGAAUACCGAUGGCGAAGGCAGCCCCCUGGGCCAAUACUGACGCUCAUGCACGAAAGCGUGGGGAGCAAACAGG
rnacentral:rRNA from 1 species